rnacentral:rRNA from 1 species
AGUCAUAUGCUUGUCUCAAAGAUUAAGCCAUGCAUGUCUCAGUACAAGCCGAAUUAAGGUGAAACCGCGAAAGGCUCAUUAAAUCAGUUAUGGUUCCUUAGAUCGUACCCACAAUUACUUGGAUAACUGUGGUAAUUCUAGAGCUAAUACAUGCAAACAGAGCUCCGACCGGAGACGGAAGGAGCGCUUUUAUUAGAUCAAAACCAAUCGGCGGCGGGCUCGCUCGUCGUCGUACAACUUGGUGAAUCUGAAUAACUUUCUGCUGAUCGCAUGGUCUCGCACCGGCGACGCAUCUUUCAAAUGUCUGCCUUAUCAACUGUCGAUGGUAGGUUCUGCGCCUACCAUGGUUGUAACGGGUAACGGGGAAUCAGGGUUCGAUUCCGGAGAGGGAGCCUGAGAAACGGCUACCACAUCCAAGGAAGGCAGCAGGCGCGCAAAUUACCCACUCCCGGCACGGGGAGGUAGUGACGAAAAAUAACGAUACGGGACUCAUCCGAGGCCCCGUAAUCGGAAUGAGUACACUCUAAACCCUUUAACGAGGAUCAAUUGGAGGGCAAGUCUGGUGCCAGCAGCCGCGGUAAUUCCAGCUCCAAUAGCGUAU